UACGAAGGGGGCUAGCGUUGUUCGGAAUUACUGGGCGUAAAGCGCACGUAGGCGGAUUGUUAAGUCAGAGGUGAAAUCCCGGAGCUCAACUUCGGAACUGCCUUUGAUACUGGCAAUCUAGAGUCCGGAAGAGGUUAGUGGAAUUCCCAGUGUAGAGGUGAAAUUCGUAGAUAUUGGGAAGAACACCAAUGGCGAAGGCAGCUCGCUGGGACGGUACUGACGCUGAGACGCGAAAGCGUGGGGAGCAAACAGG
rnacentral:rRNA from 1 species